rnacentral:rRNA from 1 species
AGUGAACGCUGGCGGUAGGCCUAACACAUGCAAGUCGAACGGCAGCACAGUAAGAGCUUGCGCUUACGGGUGGCGAGUGGCGGACGGGAGAGGAAUACAUCGGAAUCUACUUUUUCGGGGGGGAUAACGUAGGGAAACUUACGCUAAUACCGCAUACGCCCUACGGGUGAAAGCAGGGGAUAGUCGGACCUUGCGCGAUUGAAUGAGCCGAUGUCGGAUUAGCUAGUUGGCGGGGUAAAGGCCUACCAAGUCGACGAUCCGUAGCUGGUCUGAGAGGAUGAUCAGCCACACUGGAACUGAGACACGGUCAAGACUCCUAAGGGAGGGAGCAGUGGGGAAUAUUGGACAAUGGGCGCAAGCAUGGUCCAGCCAUACCGCGUGGGUUGAGAAGGCCUUCGGGUUGUAAAGCCCUUUUGUUGGGAAAGAAAAGCAGCAGGUUAAUACCCCGCUGUUCUGACGGUACCCAAAGAAUAAGCACCGGCUAACUUCGUG